CGACACUUCUGCAAGCAACUGCGAUGGUAUCACAUCAAAAGACCUAUGCCCUGGUCCGACAGAAGAAAAUGUGCAUCUUUGAGUGAAGUACCAUCAGCAAUUGAAGAGUGACUGCUGGGAAAGUUGCACUGACACAGGCGGCUACAAAGGAUAUAUUGUGGUUACAGCUGUAGCGGAACUAAGUUCGUGUGAGCAAGAGGAAACGCAUCAACUAAAGUGAAAUCAACCAGAGAAGAUUUGAGGGAUGAUAGCGCUCCUCCUUAUUAGAGUAUCUACGUGCAAAAACGCCUGUUGAUGGCAAAGGUCAAAGGAGAAUGGCCCGGCUGCUUUGAACUGAUGGGAAAGCAACAGUAACUCAAAGUAUGCAGAAGAGCACAACAUAUCGAACCUUGAAGCAGAUGGGCUGCAACAGCAGAAGACCACACCGGGUCCCACUCCUGUCACAGGAAACUGAAUCUACACUUCACAUAGGCUCACCUAGAGACCUGAAGAUAUGAGUCAAAUUUGGGAUGCUAGUGGUGGUAUAGUGCAUGGAGGAUAUAUUCUUGGCCCACUUUGGGCCCUGUAGUACCAGUUCACUCGCUUCUAAAUGCUAAAACCUACCUUUUGUAAACUGUGAGCUAAGCGGAGAUUUCUAACUUUCAUUUAAGGGAAUUAACAAAAGUAAGGCAUGUGUGGAAUUUAAUCUCUGGCUCUCUUCCACAGAGAGCCAGAGAUUUGGCUCUUGUCCUCCCCUCACCCCCAACUAGUCGCCACAGAUACCCGCCCCUUCCUGAGCCUGAUCCAGUCAGAUGUUUCUUCCUGUUAAAAAGGAGUUUUUCCUUCCCACUGUCGCCAAGUGCUUGCUCAAAUGGGAUCAUUUGAUUGUUGGCGUUUUAUCUGUGUUAUUGUAGCAUCUUCACCUGACAAUGUAAACUGCCCUGUUGUGAUUUGGCACUAUAUAAUAAAACUGAACUGAAUUACAGUCACUUUUA
ensembl:lncRNA